rnacentral:rRNA from 1 species
CCAUCUGGUAAGGCUAAAUACUCCUCAGACACCGAUAGUGAACCAGUACCGUAAGGGAAAGGUGAAAAGCACCCCGAACAGGGGAGUGAAAUAGUACCUGAAACCGUGCGCCUACAAGCGGUCGGAGCUCAGCAAUGAGUGACGGCGUGCCUUUUGCAUAAUGAGCCUACGAGUUGCUCCUCACUGGCGAGGUUAAGUUCUUAUAUAACGGAGCCGAAGCGAAAGCGAGUCCAAAUAGGGCGAAUAGUCAGUGGGGGCAGACGCGAAACUUUGUGAUCUAUCCAUGGGCAGGUUGAAGGUGUGGUAACACACACUGGAGGACCGAACCCGUUGACGUUGAAAAGUCUUGGGAUGACCUGUGGAUAGGGGUGAAAGGCCAAUCAAACUGAGAGAUAGCUCGUUCUCCCCGAAAUGUUUUUAGGAACAGCGUUGCAUAUAGAAGUUUAUUAGAGGUAGAGCUACUGAUUGGGCUAGGGGGCUUCACCGCCUACCAAACCCUGACAAACUCCGAAUGCUAAUAAAUAUCUGCAGCAGUGAGGCUUUGGGCGCUAAGGUCCAGGGCCGAGAGGGAAAUAACCCAGAUUAGCAACUAAGGUCCCUAAUACGUAGUUAAGUUGAUCAAACGAGGUGGGAUUUCUAUAACAGCCAGGAUGUUGGCUUGGAAGCAGCCAUUCAUUUAAAGAGUGCGUAACAGCUCACUGGUCGAGAGAUCCUGCACGGAAAAUAAUCGGGCAUCAAACUACGAACCGAAGUUCUAAACUCAGCCUAGCUGAGUGGUAGGGGAGCAUUGAAAUCUGCACUGAAGGUGUAUGGCGACAUAUGCUGGAGCGAUUUCAAAAGAAAAUGUAGGCAUAAGUAACGAUAAUUAAAGUGAAAAACUUUAACGCGAAAAGUCUAAGGUUUCCUGAUCAACGUUAAUCGGAUCAGGGUUAGUCUGGUCCUUAGGAAAACCCGAAAGGGGCAUCUGAUGGAAAGCUGGUUAAUAUUCCAGCACCUGCUAUACAUUAAAAGUGACGCAGGGACGUGGUGGUUGCGUACGGACGGAAGUGUACGCCUGAGUAGAGUCUUCGGACAAAGCGAAACCAUAAAAUCCCUGCCAAGAAAAGCGAGUAUAGCAGCCAGUACCGGAAUCCGACACAGGUAGACGGGAUGAGUAUUCUAACGCGCUCGGGUGAGCCGUGGAGAAGGAACUAGGCAAAUUGACGCUGUAACUUCGGGAUAAAGCGUACCGUAGCGAUACGGUCACAGUAAAAUGGUUCAACCAACUGUUUAACAAAAACACAGGGCCCUGCAAAAACGUAAGUUGACGUAUAGAGCCUGAAACCUGCCCGGUGCUGGAAGGUUAAGGAAGGGUGUUCGGCGCAAGCCAAAGCUCCUGACUGAAGCCCCAGUAAACGGCGGCCGUAACUAUAACGGUCCUAAGGUAGCGAAAUUCCUUGUCGGGUAAGUUCCGACCUGCACGAAUGGUCUAAUGAGUUGAACACUGUCUCCUCCACGAGCCCGGUGAAAUUGUAGUAUCGGUGAAGAUGCCGGUUACCCGCCACGGGACGGAAAGACCCCGUGAACCUUCACUACAACUUUGCAUUGAUUUUGAGCAACAAAUGUGUAGGAUAGUUGGGAGACUUUGAAGCAGUGUCGCCAGGCAUUGUGGAGUCAUCGUUGAAAUACCAACCUUUUGUUGCUUAGAACCUAACCCUGAACAAGGGGACAUUGCAUGGUGGGUAGUUUGACUGGGGUGGUCGCCUCCUAAAAAGUAACGGAGGCUCGCAAAGGUACCCUCAGUACGGUUGGUAAUCGUACGUAGAGCGCAUUAGUAUAAGGGUGCUUGACUGUGAGGCAAACACGCCGAGCAGGAGCGAAAGCUGGCUAAAGUGAUCCGGUGGUUCUGCAUGGAAGGGCCAUCGCUCAAAGGAUAAAAGGUACUCCGGGGAUAACAGGCUGAUCUUACCCAAGAGCUCAUAUCGACGGUAAGGUUUGGCACCUCGAUGUCGGUUCGUCACAUCCUGGGGCUGGAGAAGGUCCCAAGGGUUCGGCUGUUCGCCGAUUAAAGUGGCACGUGAACUGGGUUCAGAACGUCGCAAGACAGUUCGGUCCCUAUCUGUGGUGGGCGCUAGUAAAUUGAGUGGACAUGACCUUAGUACGAGAGGACCGGGUCGCAUGUACCGCUGGUGUAUCAGUUGUGCCGCCAGGUGCAAUGCUGAGUAGCUAUGUACAGACAGGAUAAAAAUGACUUGAACAAUUUUCAAUCUGCCGCUAAAAAUAGGGUCUGAUGUCAUGGAUGAUGACGCAUCAGACCCCACAUAAAACUAAAAUAAGAUGCAAAAUAAAAUGAAAAAAUCUCUGUUGAUGCUUGGGUUA